rnacentral:rRNA from 1 species
UAGGGAAUCUUCGGCAAUGGACGAAAGUCCGACCGAGCAACGCCGCGUGAGUGAAGAAGGUUUUCGGAUCGUAAAACUCUGUUGGUAGAGAAGAACGUUGGUGAGAGUGGAAAGCUCAUCAAGUGACGGUAACUACCCAGAAAGGGACGGCUAACUACGUGUCAG